UAAAGGUCCUUCUGAAAGAGCAGUAUUUUUAAAAUGAAUUUACUGAAUAACAAUUGCUCUUUUGGAAGGAAUGUAAG
rnacentral:miRNA from 1 species